ensembl:snRNA U6 U6 spliceosomal RNA
AUGGUCACUGUGGCAGCAUGUAUACGAAAAGUGAACAAUACAGAGAUUAGCAUGGCCUCUGUGUAAGGAUGGCAUUCAAAUUCAUGAAGUAUUCUCUAUAUUU